CCCUAAGAAAAAGAGCAAUCCUUCAAGCAUAAACCAGAUGGCAAACCUUGUAUGGGAGAAGAGAAAUAAAAGGAAUCCAGCAACAGAAAAGCUUUGAAAAGUUCUAGUUUGGCAAUUUACAAUUCCUAUUGUAGCUUUUCUUCAUGGUUUCAACAAUCAACUAUUUGGUUCUCACUCAAAAGGUUUUAAGGUGCAUGACAAAUCGUACUGAAUUCCAAAUUUCUUUGACCUAGAAAGGAGAUCGAUCGAAAUGAUUAGAGGAAAUAUGCCAAAAGUUGUAAGUCUAUGGUAUAUAUUAUGUGCAAACUCCUGCCUUACAAUACCACCUAAUCAUCUUGUCUGGUCGUGCUUGUUUCAGUAUCUUCCAGUACAUGGUAAGUGGAUAGGAAAAAUGCACUCUGAUUUUUCUGCAGAAACCUGCAUAAGAGCGGCUAUAACAAAUCAACAGAAUGACAUUAUUAGAACACAUAAAAUAAAUUAAACAUACUAUUGUUUAAAAAUGGACUUCCUCAACAUGAAAAAAUCACUCCUUACACUUGAAGAAUUAUGAAAAAUCUAAUUAAGUGAAAAGUUGGUGCACACAUAAAAAAAGGCAACCUCAAAAGCAUUUUAGCUCCCUGGAUGAUUUCUUCCUUUUACUUUUAAUUUUUUGCCUUUCCCCCCUCAUUUGCUUGCCAGAACAGCAAUUAUCCCAAGUAAAUCUUUAAUUAUUUGUACUUAUUAAGAUCAAAAUGCAGAUCUAACAAAAGGAUUAUUCAUAAUCAGAGUCUAAGUCAUACUUGAGAAAGUCAACUAAUUUUUGCUGCAACUCGUUCAGUGUAUCGUCUUCAAUGUUUGCAUAUGCUAAUAACUCCGGCAACUUAACUGCAAGCACCAGAAAAAUGCCUUUAGCAGAGAAGUUGCUAUAGAUCUUUAAUAAUAUGCAUUUGUUUCUAACUACUACACUAAAUCAUCUUCAAAAGGACACAACUCUCGAUCUAAUCCAAUUGUAGUAAUGACCGAAAUGAAAUGAAAGUCACCAUCCUAGAUUAAACCAGAAAGCAGCCAUCCUAAAUUAACCCAUUUUCUAAUUUAAAAUAAAAGACAAUAUAUUACAGCCCAUAAUGGCACAUUCCUAAUAAUUGCUUUACUAAGAUGACCAAAUCCACCAUCUUAUAACUUGAGAAAAUAAAGGGUAAAUCCACCAAAAAUAUCCUCAUUGCAAUUGGGAUAAAAAAUCUGGCACACAAAAUAUCAACAAGUACUUCUAUAGAUACUUCUAUAGUAAGAAGCAUCCAGUGACAUCAAUGUUACUCAUAACCGGACACUACACUUUUACCCCAAUAAAAAAUUUAUAAGCAGCUGACUGUUUGUGGAACAUGUACAAAGGACACAUGAUAAAGCUUUUUCAAUGCUAACUAUUAUUGUAUCUCACCAAAGAAGAACAUACCAAACAGGCGUAAUAGAUGCUCAGCACCAUAUACAGUUGAGGAAGAGACAUCAUCUUUAAUUGCUUCGGCAUAUUGUUUGCGCUCAUUUUUGUACAGAAGCAUCACUGGUAAUGCCUUAUUGAAGUAAGAACAUAAACCUUUUGUAAUUUCUCCAACUGCUUCAGAUAUCGAGCCAUCUUUCUUUAGUCUAUAAUCAAGAUAUUUCUUCAUGAUGUCAUCCACAUUAGGGUUACGAGGAAGUUUAACAAGCUGACCGAAAAGGAAUACAUUAAAACAAUGAAAUCAGUCAUGUACAGUACUUGAAGGUAAUUGUUUAAUUAAACACAAACAAAAAUAAGCACUAUAAAUAUUGCAAUGAUAAUGAACCAAUUCAUCCUUGUUUAUUUAGAAUAUGAAUAAUACAUCAGCUUUGUAGUCAAUUAGAACAGCAAGAAUAAAGAAAAAAACAAAAAUAUAAAUUACAUGCCCACCAUUUGGCUCAAAUUUUAUUUCUGUUCAUUGCGUCUUAUAUAUUCAGACUGUUAAUAUCACACUGAAAGUAAUUAAAAGGAUAUAUAACAAUGUUACCCGAUUUGAUACUCAAGCUCACACACAAUUGAGAUACAUGCAACAGGAUAAUACAAGAAGGUGGUGAAAACUAAAUAGCAAAAUGAAUCAAAUUGUAAUAUAGCACUGCUAUACACACACACACACACAAUUACCUUGCCCAGAUGAGUGAUAAAUUCACAAUCAUCAACAAGUUGCUUCUUAAGCAUUGGCGGAAUUUGGAGACUCACCAGCUUUUCCAAGGGUACAACAUCUUUUUCCUAACAGUUGGAAACAACAAACUAAGCAAAGAGAUGCCAAAUUGUGAAUACAAAACCUCUUUAAAAACACCAAGAUUAAAGAAAAUUGUCUGAUUAUUUGCAUUUUACAUUCAUGGGAUAUGUAUUGAUUGAAAUCAGCACUCUAAGAGGGCGUUAGGUGGAGAUUCGCUAGAUUUUACCUUAUUGAAAGAGUUAUUUUUCCUCUUCUUGCUCCUUGCAACUGCAUAUGUCCCAUAAUAACUUUAAUACCAAUUCAAAGAGCGCAGAAAAGGUAUUGGGCAUAUUAACUAUUAAAAGUUUUGACAUGUAAGAUUAGAAAUAAUGAAAGCUCUCCAGUGCAAUGAGGAUUCAAUAAUGGAAUCAAAAUAAGGCGAUUUUCCCCUACUUUGCAGGGUCAACCCUUAGACCUUUACAAACUUCAGCUAAAGUUCAACAAUGGGUUCAUUUAAUAAAUUAUAAAUAUUGCUUAAUAAAAUAUUCAAAUGGCAAGUCAAGAACACCAUAAAUAGCUGAAGAUCUUAACUAGGCUUGAGCAGUUUUCAGAUUAAACUGAAAAACUGAACCAAUUCUGUUCAAUUGGUUUGGAAUUUUAGGGAAUACCAAAUUUCGGUUCGGUUAAUUUUUUUUGUGGGCAAAAAAACCCAAAAUAUCUUAAAAAGCCUCCCCCCCCCUUCUUCUUUUCUCUUUCUCUUUUUUGGGCCUCUGUUUCAAGGUCCAGCCCAGCCCUUUUCCCCUCAGCUCUCUUACUCAACUCAACUCAACUCAAC
rnacentral:misc_RNA from 1 species